rnacentral:rRNA from 1 species
UGAAUCGGCCCCGACCGUGGGGUAAGUCUAAGCAUACCUGUCUGACCGAUAGCGUACCAGUACCGUGAGGGAAAGGUGAAAAGCACCCCGGGAGGGGAGUGAAAGAGUUCCUGAAACCGUGCGCCUACAAUCCGUCGGAGCCUCCUUGUGGGGUGACGGCGUGCCUAUCGAAAAAUGAGUCUGCGAGUCAGUGGUGCGUGGCGAGGCUAACCCGUGGUGGGGGAGCCGUAGCGAAGGCGAGUCUCAAAAGGCGUUUUGAGUCGCGCGCCCUGGACCCGAAGCGGGAUGAUCUAGCCCUGGGCAGGUUGAAGCGCGGGUAAGACCGCGUGGAGGACCGAACCCACCUGGGUUGAAAACCGGGGGGAUGACCUGGGGCUAGGGGUGAAAGGCCAAUCAAAUUCCGUGAUAGCUGGUUCUCUCCGAAAUGCAUUUAGGUGCAGCGUCGGUUGAUUGCAUCGCGGGGGUAGAGCUACUGGAUGCUUGCGGGCCCGUGUCGGGUACCAAUAGCAGCCAAACUCCGAAUACCGUGGAUGUGUAUUCCGGCAGUGAGUCGGCGGGGGAUAAGCUCCGUCGUCGAGAGGGAGACAGCCCAGAUCGUCGUCUAAGGUCCCGAAGCGUGUGCUAAGUGGGAAAGGAUGUGGAGUCGCAUAGACAGCCAGGAGGUUGGCUCAGAAGCAGCCAUCCUUGAAAGAGUGCGUAACAGCUCACUGGUCUAGUGGUUCCGCGCCGACAAUGUAGCGGGGCUCAAGCACACCACCGAAGACGCGGCAGCGGCCUUUGUGGCCGUUGGGUAGGAGAGCGUCCCGCGUGGGGCGAAGCGGCCGGGGAACCGUGCCGUGGACCGCGCGGGAGUGAGAAUGCAGACAUGAGUAGCGAGAGACGGGUGAGGAUCCCGUCCGCUGGAUGACCAAGGGUUCCGGGGCCACGUUCGUCGUCCCCGGGUGAGUCGGGUCCUAAGGCGAGGCCGACAGGCGUAGUCGAAUGGAUGAACGGGUGGAUAUUCCCGUACCGGCGGCGUACCGUAAGAGCCGAACGGAUGAGUACUAACCUCCGGUCGCGUGGCGUCGUUCCCUUCGGGGUUCGGGGCGCGUGGCUGUUGGGAGCGUAGUCCUGGUAGGCUAGCGCACAGGGGUGACACGGAAUGGGAGCCGGCCGCGGAGGUGGUUUUCCGUGGUCAAGCACGCAGCCCGUCCCAUAGGCAAAUCCGUGGGGCAUGUAGGGUGAGGUGUGAUGAUGGGCGUCCUUUGGACGCGAUAUCCGGUGGUCCAGGCCGUCGAGAAAAGCCUCGGCGCGAGGGGCGUCGCCGCCCGUACCCCAAACCGACACUGGUGGUCAGGUAGAGAAUACCAAGGCGAUCGAGCGAAUCCUGGUCAAGGAACUCGGCAAAUCACUCCCGUGCCUUCGGUAUAAGGGAGACCCCCGGGCGUGAAGAGGCUUGCCCUCGGAGCGUUGGGGGGUGGCACAGACCAGGGGGUAGCGACUGUUUACCAAAAACACAGGUGCAUGCGAAGGCGCAAGCCGCUGUAUAUGCACUGACGCCUGCCCGGUGCCGGAAGGUUAAGAGGAUCCGUCAGCCCCUUUUGGGGUGAAGCGGUGAAUUCAAGCCCCGGUAAACGGCGGUGGUAACUAUAACCAUCCUAAGGUAGCGAAAUUCCUUGUCGGGUAAGUUCCGACCUGCACGAAUGGCGUAACGACUUCCCCACUGUCUCGACCAGGAGCUCGGCGAAAUUGCAGUACGAGUAAAGAUGCUCGUUAAGCGCAGAAGGACGAAAAGACCCCGGGACCUUUACUAUACCUUGGUAUUGGCGUUAGGCGCGGAUUGUGUAGCAUAGGCGGGAGGCUUCGAAGCAUGGGCGCCAGCCCGUGUGGAGCCGCAAGGUGAAAUACCGCUCUGUUCUCGUUUGACGUCUAACCUCGAACAGUCAUCCUGUUCAGGGACAGUGCCUGGCGGGUAGUUUAACUGGGGCGGUUGCCUCCCAAAGAGUAACGGAGGCGCUCAAAGGUCCGCUCAGCCCGGUUGGCAAUCGGGUUUCGAGUGUAAUCGCACAAGCGGGCUUGACUGCGAGAACGACGGUUCGGGCAGGGACGAAAGUCGGAGAUAGUGAUCCGGUGCCGGCGCACGGGCGCGGCAUCGCUCAACGGAUAAAAGGUACCCCGGGGAUAACAGGCUGAUCAUUCCCAAGAGUCCAUAUCGACGGGAUGGUUUGGCACCUCGAUGUCGGCUCGUCGCAUCCUGG